CGGCAUGCUUAACACAUGCAAGUCGAACGGCAGCACAGUGUGUAGCAAUACACAUGGGUGGCGAGUGGCGGACGGGUGAGUAACGCGUAGGAAUCUGCCUUGAAGCGGGGGACAACCCGAGGAAACUCGGGCUAAUACCGCAUAAUCUCGAGAGAGAAAAGUUAGGUAGCAACAUCUGACACUUCAAGAGGAGCCUGCGUCCGAUUAGCUAGUUGGUGGGGUAAAAGCCCACCAAGGCGAUGAUCGGUAGCUGGUCUGAGAGGAUGAUCAGCCACACUGGGACUGAGACACGGCCCAGACUCCUACGGGAGGCAGCAGUGGGGAAUAUUGGACAAUGGGGGCAACCCUGAUCCAGCAAUGCCGCGUGUGUGAAGAAGGCCUUCGGGUUGUAAAGCACUUUAGGUUGGGAGGAAGGUAUGUAGUUUAAGAGAUGACAUAUUUGACUGUACCGACAGAAUAAGCACCGGCUAACUCUGUGCCAGCAGCCGCGGUAAUACAGAGGGUGCGAGCGUUAAUCGGAGUUACUGGGCGUAAAGGGCGCGUA
rnacentral:rRNA from 1 species